UGGAAGAAGUACUGGAGGACAGGUGGCUGCAUGGCUGUCGUCAGCUCGUGUCGUGAGAUGUUGGGUUAAGUCCCGCAACGAGCGCAACCCUUGCCUUUAGUUGCCAGCAGUUCGGCUGGGCACUCUAAAGGGACUGCCGGUGGUUAAACCGGAGGAAGGUGGGGAUGACGUCAAGUCCUCAUGGCCUUUAUGACCAGGGCUACACACGUACUACAAUGGCCGAUACAAAGGGCAGCGACACUGCGAGGUGAAGCCAAUCCCGUAAAAUCGGUCUCAGUCCGGAUUGGAGUCUGCAACUCGACUCCAUGAAGUUGGAAUCGCUAGUAAUCGUGGAUCAGCAUGCCACGGUGAAUACGUUCCCGGGCCUU
rnacentral:rRNA from 1 species